AGGAGGGCGAGCGCGGGGCUGGACGGUGGCGUGGGGCAGGUCCGGUUCCUCCGAGGGGGCCCGCUCGGUGCUGCGGAACAUGGCCCUGAGCUGGAGGGAAGUGUUCAUAGGGAAGGUGCUAAAACGACUCUAUCCGGAAACUUCGUCUUCUCCCGUGCAAACUCCGAGUAGGGAAGAGAAGGCAAUUCUCGGAACUCUACACUCAAAAUCCAAAGAAAAGAAUUUAAAUAAUGUUCAGGCUUCAUCAGUAGAUGCUAGCACGUCAACUGGUACAGCUUGCAAAGGUAGCGACGAUACAAUUCUGUCUCCAAGGAGAGUGUAUACAGUGAAUCUUCCUCCAGAGGAUUACGUUGCAAUUACUCCAGAUGCUAUUAGUAUUUCAGUUUCUGAAAACUCAGACAGUAGUGCUGACUCAACAGAGGAGGAAUAUCAAGGACAAACCAAGAAAAGGCGCGUUCGGAGGAAGAAACAAAAGAGUGGUUUGCAAAACUCUGAUAACUUACAUGGAGAACAAACAGAAUCUGGAAUGCAAGGGACACUUGUUCAAGAUAAUUUACAGCUGCAGCAGAUAGACCAUCCCAAAAUAAGCAAGAACAAAAAGAGGAAAAUGAAAAAGAAGCGACAUAAAGAAAAAAUGAGAGCAGCUGGCUUGGUAACAAAAACUACCGGUGUGGAUUUUACAUAUCAGCCAAACAAAAACAACAGAGAAGAAGCAGCAGGCUUAAAAGACAUAGAUGAAAAGGCAGAUAGCAUUCUGGACUUCCUGCAGGCAACACAACAAAUUUAUUUUGCUGACAAGAAAUCAGAAUGCACGGAUUCUGAUGUAAAUUCAGCAACUGCCCAAGAGCUUUUACAAUGUCUUGAAUCUCACACCAUCUCUUCCUCAGAUGUGACUCUUCUACAUCAGUUGAAAUCUCUUGUAUUACUACAGGAUAUUGAGAGAUUGAAGGAUGCUUUGAAACGGUUUCAAGAACAGUCCAUGAUGCCUCCUGAUCAUACCAAGAUAGUCGCGUCUCUGUUACACUACUGGAUUACAGAUAUCCUUCCUGUGAAGAACAGGAAAUAAAGCCUUGCCUAUGUCCAUAUGUGCAGGAUUAAAACUUAAUAGACAAACUCUUAACCAAGUAGCAAUUGUUCAGGAAGAGCAGUGUCAAUACACAUUCUACAUCUUCAGGUAAUUUGAAUUCUGUUUAAAACAUCUCUGCUUGGUCUCAAGGUCAAACAGCCACAACACUUAAUCAGAAUAAAGACUACUCAAUGAAAACAUAAACAUUGUGGAAAUGCUGCUCAUCUAAUCCAUGCAUUUUUCAAGCUUUAUUUCCUGGACAGAUUGUGUUGCCCUCUUAAGUUGGUGAAAGAACCUUCCAGUGUUCAGCUACAGAGUUCACAACUGAAGCUUUGACAUGUGAGUAGCAGAGUUGGAGUGUGGGACAUGGAGGAAGAAGAGGAUGGAGAGCCCUGCUCAGUAGGUUGUUGCAUACACACUUGCUCAGGUCCAUGGAUUAACUGAUGAGAAAAUUUCCCAGCAACAGUACAGAACUGUUGGGAAUGAUCUGCCCAGAAUUUUGCAAAGAAGUGGUGCAAAUUCAAAAGGGCCUGGACUGUGUGUAUACGAGCAUUGGACAGAUUGCGACCCUGUGCAGCCACAGAAGCAGUGAAGAAGAAUUCUCAUCACAGAAUGUAGUACAGUUCUCAUACCAACUCUUUCACAGUGAAAAACACCCACUGAGGACUGGCUAGCUAGGAGCACAUGUUCAGCCUGGCACAGGAGCCAAUAUCUGUGACAACACUUCAUGUUUACUCCUGUCCCGCACAAAGAGCCGCAAAGGAAGCCCAGAGUAGUUUCAGAAUCCUGCCGGUAUUCCUCCAGCCUGGCCUCUUCAAGGAUGAUGAGUUUUGGAAAGUACUUCUUUAGUUGUAGAGGCUGAAAUUCUACGAAGACUCAGAAAUCAUGGUUAUUCCUCUGCGGAGAAUGACACCUGGGUAUAUCAGGUUGCUACAGACUCAAGCUGCAGGAAAAAUGGUUAUCAACUCAUCAGACACACUGCUGCAACGAGCAGCAUUGCUGCUGGGGAUGUUUGGAAUCAGUAUAUCCAGCUACAGCACACACCAGCUAACCCAAAAGAAGAGAUUUCCCUUGACCUUUCAAGCUACAUUAGGGUGUGACCCAAGAGGCAAAGGCUGGUGUCAGUAGCACUGAUGAGUGGCUUUUCUGCCUUGGUUACUGGUGAGGAGGUAACAAGAUACUUCGCAGCUGUGACUUCUACACACAAAGUUAAAAAGAUGGACCAAUUACAGACUGCCUCAGGAAAGACAAAAAGAGCAAUGACUAACAGAGGCAUCAUAUUUCCAAAUAAGACGAACUGACUGUAAAUACAAUGGACUUCUUUUGUUAUCUACAUUGAGAUCUCAAGGGAUAAAAUGCAGUUAAAAUGGGAAUAGGUGCAAACAGAUCGAUGGGUGUACCACACUGCCUUAGCGUCACCUGGUUGCAGCUUCUACAAGUGGACUCCUAUGCAAAGACUGGGUUUCUAAAAUGAAAAGUUAGAAGCAAUAUAUUCCUCAUGACAACAGCUAGACCAAGUGCAAAUAAUCUCUCACAGACUCUUUGUAGUAUUAUAUCUAACUAGAGAUGUACAUUUGUGCAUGUGGCAGAAUUUCUGUGCUCUAGCCUAUUGAAUUUUAAACAUUGCUUGAUGCCUUUUGUGUAGAAGGCUUUGUGUGUUGUAACACAAGCUGGUAGUCUUCUGCAGCAGCAGAGAUGGCUGCAGGCUACUCCAUCCAUAUGGUAUUAGGAAGGAACCAUGGCACCAGACUAGAUAACUUUGUAUUCUGUACAGAAACUCUAGAAAUGUACAGUAAAAAUAUUGGGUUGGGUUUUGUUACAGAGUUCAAUAUCAGAUCGUGUCCCUCUGCAAGUCUCACUCAUCCCGUAAUACACAUUCUGAUUAAAAUAAAAGUAAACAU